GCAGACACAUUCCAGCCAAUCAGCAGCAGACCCUCCCUCCCAGACCCUCCCACCUCCUGGACAGCUCAUUUGAAGCUGCAUUCUUAAAUGAUGCUGUCCAGGAGGUGGGAGGGUCUGGGAGGGAGGGUCUGCUGCUGAUUGGCUGGAAUGUGUCUG